rnacentral:rRNA from 1 species
CGAAUCGUGUCGGAGACGGGGCUGCUGGCAGGAUACAGAGCGGCUUCGUGCCGGCGCGGUCGUGGCUGGGCUAAGAUCAGACCGACAGCAGAGGAGCUUCCAUGGCGCCAUCCAUGGCGUCUCUGGGUUCCUCGCCGAUAAGGGGUGCUGCCCUGGCUCUGGCCAGCCACCACGGCCGCGCGCACUCCAGGAGAGUGGAGUGCAUCGUCGGCGCAACAUGUGUAGAAGAGGAGGAGGAGCGGCACUGGGUGAUAGUGUGGCUGAAGAAG